UCCCUGGUGGCUUAAUGGUAAAGAAUCUGCCUAUCAAGGCAGGAGACACAGGUUCAAUCCCUGCUCUGGAAA
rnacentral:tRNA from 1 species